rnacentral:sRNA from 1 species
AAAGGUCUGGGCUACCGGCGCGGCGUAGUGGAUGCAGCAUCCUAGUUGAGGACGCCCCGCUGUUGCUGAACCUGUUUGCUUGAGUUGCUCCUGACGGCCCUUUAGGAUACUUCCGUGUCUGUAGGGUCUACAGUGACAUCUCCUCCCCUCCCCUGACGAGAUCUGCCCUCCUUGGCACUGUGCUUCCCCAGAGGGGUGGCCUCGCUGUUCCCAUGGACAUGGCCCAGGAGCCAGUGACCUUCAGGGACGUGGCCAUCUACUUCUCAAGGGAGGAGUGGGCGUGUCUGGAACCCAGCCAGAGGACCCUCUACCGGGACGUGAUGCUGGACAACUUCAGCAGUGUGGCUGCUCUGGGUGAGCGCGGGCUGAGCGCUGCGUGAGCACAGGGUGAGUGCUGGGAGAGCUCUGCCGCUGCCUCUGGGCCCGGCUCGUCCAGGACAGUAGUGGGGCCUCCCAGCCGAGGGGGCUCAGGAGCUAGAAGUUAUUGGCUUAUGUAGACAGAGGGGCCCACUCAGCGUUUCUCUCGGGCUCCCUGGAGGCAGCCUCAU